rnacentral:rRNA from 1 species
GGCAUCGAGGAUAGAUGAAAGGUGGCCUCUACAUGUAAGCUAUCACUGAAGGAGGGGAUUGCGUCUGAUUAGCUAGUUGGAGGGGUAACGGCCCACCAAGGCGAUGAUCAGUAGCCGGUCUGAGAGGAUGAACGGCCACAUUGGGGACUGAGACACGGCCCAGACUCCUACGGGAGGCAGCAUG